UACGUAGGGACCAAGCGUUGUUCGGAUUUACUGGUCGUAAAGGGCGCGUAGGCGGCGCGGUAAGUCACUUGUGAAAUCUCUGAGCUUAACUCAGAACGGCCAAGUGAUACUGCAGUGCUAGAGUGUGGAAGGGGCAAUCGGAAUUCUUGGUGUAGCGGUGAAAUGCGUAGAUAUCAAGAGGAACACCUGAGGUGAAGACGGGUUGCUGGGCCAACACUGACGCUGAGGCGCGAAAGCCAGGGGAGCAAACGGG
rnacentral:rRNA from 1 species